ACAGAACACAAGAGGGACCUACAUGUGCUCAAAGCACACGAAUACUAGAAAAUUCACUCAAAAUGUGGUUAAGAUGAUGUGGGGUAGGGACCAAAGACAGGGUUACCAAUGGUGAUUCUAAUCCUGUAUAAAAAUGGCCUGAAACUGGACACCUGGCCAUCUGAAAGGGAUAAGAAGUGAAGGACAUAUCUGGGUGGGGACCAAAAAGGGCAAUAGGGGAUAGGAAAAUACUCUCAAG